AAAAAAUUGGUGUUGACACGGAAUAUACUCAACGGUGACAAGCAAUUUUACUGUUUGUCACCAAAAACCUUUGAGUAACCAGGCUAAAUAAUGAGAAGAUUUGGUGACAAAAAAUUUGUCACCGAAGACAAAUUUCGAUGACAAAUAUAAAGUUGUCACCGAAAGUUCUGAAUUUUCGCCCACCCGGGCUCCAAUUCAUUUUGCCGCGCUUAUAAGAAGUAAAAUAAUUUUUUUUAAGUCAAAAUGACGUCGUUUCAUCCGUUUUGUUUUGUCACCAAAAACAAGCCCUAAUUUCUCUUUUUCACGCUGCCUCCCUCCACUUUUACUCUGUCUCUCUCCACACCCGCAGCCACGCUCCAGUCACUCUGAAGACUUCCAUCAUCAGCGAACGGUGACCCUGACAACAAACCGGCGGCCGUCGCUCCGAUCAGCCCAGGCAGCACACUUCAUCUCCGCUCCCUUCCUCGCCGGCCCGAACUCGCCAGCACCACCACCACACUCUGUGAUUUCUGGUGGGAGAAACAUCAGACUGAGGAGGAAGCUGCUCUAGGUAAAGGGAAGCGCCGAAGGAAAGCUGUUUCUUACAGGGAAGCAUAUGCUCCACAACUUGGUGAAACAUUGUAUGAGUUUUCUCGUCAUUUAGGCAGCAGUCUAAGGAUCCUAGGCUCUUUUCGGAGAAGGCACAGGAAGUCCUCAUUUAGGCUUGAAUUGAGGCCGUGAAAGCUUACUUGCAAGCCGAAACGCAUAUAAAUUCUAGCAACCACUGUAAGUAAGGAGAUGGAGUUGCUUUUUGGCAAUUAACCAAGAUGGAGUUGAAGACUUUUUGGUAGUUAAAUGAAACACUUGUUUUGAGUUCUUUUUGGAUAUGGAUGUUUUGUAGUUUCAGUAAUGUUAUUAAGUUUGAAGUGGUUAUUGUUGGAGGAUGAAUGUUUUAAAAGGUUUUGAAGUUGGAUAAUGAAUGUUGACUUAUUGGAUAUUUGAUUUGAAUGAUAUUUUGCUUCUUCGCAA